AAAUACAUGGAAAUCAUAUUUAUGAGUGAAAUCUAAAAUAUUUAUUUAAUUAAAUAAAAUGGUGCUUUAAACUCAACUAGAUUUUGAUCCGUCCUUCAAAGGGCGGAAAUAUUUUUUUUUAAUUUUUUAUAAAAAAUUUAAUUUUCACAUUUGUGUUUUUUUGUAAUUAUAUUUGUGUUUUUAUGUAAUCAAUAAAAAUAUAUGUUAUAAAAUAAUAGUAAUUUAAAGGUUGAUCCGCCGGCAUACAUUCGUUUUUUUGUAAUUAUAUACACAUAUACCUAUUUUUUGUAAUCAUAUUUAUCUAUUUUAGAUCUUAAUCCGUGCUUCAAGUGUGGGUAUAAUGUUGGUUUCUAUUUUUUUGUUUUUAUGAAAAUAUGUUACAUUUUCUGCAUUUUUUUCUUAUAUGUUCAAAAUUUUAAUUUAUAUGUUUGUGUAUAACAUUUUUUUAAAAAAAUUAUUAGUAAGAGGUUUUGAUGUAUUGAAUUUUUUUUUUGUUAUAACUAUACAAUUAUGUCAUCGCCAUUUCAUUCAUUAAUUUUGAACUUUAUUCCUAAAUAGUGGUUAAUUGUUAUUUUUUUUAAAAAAAUAAGAAAGUAUAGUUAUAAUUUUGUUUAGCAAUUAAAUAGAUAAAAUUAUAUAUUUUCACUAAAUUUUCAUGAUUUGAUUUCAUAUAAUGUUAUUAUUAGAUGUCCAUGUAAAAUUAUUCAAUACUCAAAAUUCAUUCCACUUAAAUCCAUGGAGUGAUGAUUAAAUAAAAAAAGUUUAGGAUCAAACCACAUUUGAUAUAAACCCAAAAAGAAGGAAUAUUUGUUGAUAUAUAUAACUGUAGGUAAUAUAUUUUUUUCGAAAACAAAAACUGUCUGUAAUAUAUGUGUUUGUACCGAGAAUAUAGGAUGGAAGUUACAAAAAAAAAAACUGACGUUACUAUAGAUCUAAUCUGUAUUCCAGAAAUUAGAUUUUAUAUGGUCCAUAUUAUUAGGUAACAAAUCGAAAAACUGACGUUAUAUAUUAUUACCUAUUCAUAUUUUUUAUUUAAAAAAGUCGUGGUUACAUUUUAUGGUGGUGGCCGCCAAUUAUUUAGCAAAUAAAGUGGUGGUUACAUUUUAUUUUCUUUGUAGUUAUAUUAAAAAGGAAUGUAUUAUUUAAAUUAUAAAUUGGACUCAACUAUUAUCAAUUGGGCAUGUUCCUAAUUUAAUAAUAUAGAUAUUCCAUUCUUGGACUCCUUCCCACGUUAACCGACCACGAGAGUAGAUACAGGUACUUGGGCUGGCCUAGAACUGGACCCAAGUUAACAGAAAAAUCAGUUCAUUCUCAACUUUUUUCUCUUUGAAUUCAGUUUUUGAUUAUGUAACAAGAGAAUAUGUUAUGCCUGAAAAUGAUUUUCCGAAGUGAAAUGAUAAAAUACUGUUUACAAAAGUGUUGCAGAUUUCAUAAACACAUGAUGAUUUUCAGGAGUGAAGCCAAAGACGAUCACGGAGCCUCUCUUCACCAGUUCCAAACAUCUCGUCGACUUUUUCUCCGUUUCUGUAAAACUGAAACGUUGGCGUGUAGCGGAUGUGGCGAGUGGUUUCAGGGCAUUCGUCGAUGUCUGCGUAAACAAACUUCAUCCCUUUAAAACUGUUGCUAAGCUCUUCGAACGCAGGAAAAAUCUGGCUACAAACUCCACACCUGAAAAAAAAACACUCUCAUUGAAGCAUUACGUCGAACAGUUUGUAAACAUAACAUGCUGUCUUUCGUACAGACAAAAAAAAAAAAACAGAACAAGGUCAUAUACCACGAAGC